rnacentral:rRNA from 1 species
GACGAACCGAGCGAACGUUGUUCGGAAUCACUGGGCUUAAAGGGUGCGUAGGCGGCUUCUUAAGUCUGGUGUGAAAUCUCCCGGCUCAACUGGGAGGGUGCGCCGGAUACUGAGGGGCUAGAGUGUGGGAGAGGAAAGUGGAAUUCCUGGUGUAGCGGUGAAAUGCGUAGAUAUCAGGAGGAACACCGGUGGUGUAAACGGCUUUCUGGACCAUAACUGACGCUGAGGCACGAAAGCGUGGGUAGCAAACAGG